rnacentral:rRNA from 1 species
AGGAAGAGAAAAUAAAUGAAUGAUUCCCCCAGUAGUGGCGAGCGAACGGGGAACAGCCCAAACCGUUGACGUCGCAAGGCGCCAGCGGGGUUGUAGGAUCGCGACAUUGUAUGCAAAUCGUGAACAGAACACUUUGGAAAAUGUGACCAUAGACGGUGAUAGUCCAGUAUGUGAAGCGAAAUGCAGCAUAGCGGUAUCCUGAGUAACGCGGGACACGAGGAAUCCUGCGCGAAUCUGCCGGGACCAUCCGGUAAGGCUAAAUACUCCCGUGAGACCGAUAGCGAACGAGUACUGUGAAGGAAAGGUGAAAAGAACCCCGAGCAGGGGAGUGAAAUAGUUCCUGAAACCAUACGCCUACAAGCGGUCGGAGCAUCUUACGAUGUGACGGCGUGCCUUUUGCAUAAUGAUCCUACGAGUUACCGUCACUGGCGAGGUUGAGUGUCAUGAGACACGUAGCCGCAGUGAAAGCGAGCCUGAACAGGGCGCAUAGUCAGUGGGGGUAGACGCGAAACCAAGUGAUCUACACUUGGCCAGGAUGAAGUCCCGGUAACACGGGAUGGAGGUCCGCACCAAUAAGCGUUGAAAAGCUUCUGGAUGAGCCGAGUGUAGGAGUGAAAGGCCAAUCAAACUUGGAGAUAGCUCGUACUCCCCGAAAGGCAUUUAGGUGCCGCGUCGGAUGGUCACCGUGAGAGGUAGAGCGACCGAUAGGACAAGAGGGCUUCACCGCCUAUCGAGUCCUGACGAACUCCGAAUGCUCACGGUCUGCAGUCCGGCAGUAAGGGGGCGGGUGCUAAGGUCCGUCCCCGAGAGGAGAAGAAUCCAGACCGCCGUCUAAGGUCCCGGAGUUCUGCCUGAGUUAGUCUAACGAAGUCUGGUCCCUAUGACAGCUAGGAUGUUGGCUUGGAAGCAGCCAUUCAUUCAAAGAGUGCGUAACAGCUCACUAGUCGAGGGUCCGGGCAUGGAUAAUAAUCGGGUAUAAGGCAGACACCGAAGGCGCGGGAUAGCAUUUAAGAAAGUAUCGGUAGGGGAGCAUACUCACAGCGUGGAAUGGUGUACGUAAGUUAUCCUGGAGCGGUGAGUAAAGCAAAUGUAGGAAUAAGUAACGAUAAGGAGGGUUAGAUUCCCUCCCGCUGUAAGACCAAGGUUUCCCGGGCAAUGCCAAUCAGCCCGGGGUCAGUCGGGUCCUAAGUCUAAGCCGAACGGCGAUGGCGAUGGCAGAGACGGUUAAUAUUCCGUCACUGCCGCAUGGGGCGACGUGGAGACGGAGCAGUGAAACCACCGCGGGGCGACGGAAGUCCCCGUUGAAGAGUGUAGGUGUUGAGGAUGGCAGGCAAAUCCACCGUCCGAGCUGAACUUGAUAGUAUGGAGUCUUCUUCGGAAGAAUCCAAUAGUGUGGGUAAUCAUACUCCCGAGAAAAUCCGCUAAGCUUAACCCAUGCGGCACCCGUACCGCAAACGGACACACGUGGUCGGGUAGAACAUACUAAGGCGUUGAGAGAUUCAUGGUUAAGGAACUAGGCAAAUUGACCCUGUAACUUCGGGAUAAAGGGUCCUCGUGAUGAGCGAGGCGCAGAGAAUAGGUCCAGGCAACUGUUUAACAAAAACACAGGGCUGUGCAAACUCGAAAGAUGACGUAUACAGCCUGACACCUGCCCGGUGCCGGAAGGUUAAGAGGAGAUGUCACUCGCAAGAGGAAGCAUUGAAUUGAAGCCCCGGUAAACGGCGGCCGUAACUAUAACGGUCCUAAGGUAGCGAAAUUCCUUGUC